GCCGCCGUAGCUCAGCACGGUCAGAGCGCCGGCCUCGUAAGGCCUAAGUAAGAAGUGAUCCAGGACAGCCGGUGGUCCCGGGUUCAAAUCCCGGCGGCGGCU
rnacentral:tRNA from 1 species